rnacentral:rRNA from 2 species
UUCCGGUUGAUCCUGCCGGACCUGACUGCUAUCGGAUUGAUACUAAGCCAUGCGAGUCAUUGUAGCAAUACAAGGCAGACGGCUCAGUAACGCGUAGUCAACCUAACCUAUGGACGGGAAUAACCUCGGGAAACUGAGAAUAAUGCCCGAUAGAACACUAUAUCUGGAAUGGUUUGUGUUCCAAAUGAUUUAUCGCCGUAGGAUGGGACUGCGGCCUAUCAGUUUGUUGGUGAGGUAAUGGCCCACCAAGACUAUUACAGGUACGGGCUCUGAGAGGAGUAGCCCGGAGAUGGGUACUGAGACACGGACCCAGGCCCUAUGGGGCGCAGCAGGCGAGAAAACUUUGCAAUGUGCGAAAGCACGACAAGGUUAAUCCGAGUGGUUUGUGCUAAACGAACCUUUUGUCGGUCCUAGAAACACCGAUGAAUAAGGGGUGGGCAAGUUCUGGUGUCAGCCGCCGCGGUAAAACCAGCACCUCAAGUGGUCAGGAUGAUUAUUGGGCCUAAAGCAUCCGUAGCCGGCGCUAUAAGUUUUCGGUUAAAUCUGUACGCUCAACGUACAGGCUGCCGGGAAUACUGUAGCGCUAGGGAGUGGGAGAGGUAGACGGUACUCGGUAGGAAGGGGUAAAAUCCUUUGAUCUAUUGAUGACCACCUGUGGCGAAGGCGGUCUACCAGAACACGUCCGACGGUGAGGGAUGAAAGCUGGGGGAGCAAACCGGAUUAGAUACCCGGGUAGUCCCAGCUGUAAACUAUGCAAACUCAGUGAUGCAUUGGCUUGUGGCCAAUGCAGUGCUGCAGGGAAGCCGUUAAGUUUGCCGCCUGGGAAGUACGUACGCAAGUAUGAAACUUAAAGGAAUUGGCGGGGGAGCACCACAAGGGGUGAAGCCUGCGGUUCAAUUGGAGUCAACGCCGGA